AAAAGUAUAACUCUACCCUCCUAUAAGUCCCUUAGACAGGUAUAGGUGUUAUUAAUCGCAAUAAUGCAGCUUAUACAUCACGAGUGAACUGUAAUAAUGCUUCAAGUACACCUGGGAACUAAAUGUGUACUUGAAGCAUUAUUACAGUUCACUCGUGAUGUAUAAGCUGCAUUAUUGCGAUUAAUAACACCUAUACCUGUCUAAGGGACUUAUAGGAGGGUAGAGUUAUACUUUUAUACGACUGUUGGUGUUAUAAUACUCUAACAACUAUCCUUUAGUCAGCCGUCUGACUAAGAGCAUUAUAGGAGGGUAGAGAUACGGCAACCGCUGUUUAACAGCCUACUUGUACGAUGUUGUAGAGCUAGCAUUUUAAUAGAACACACAUGGUCAUUUAUAAAGCCAAAAGCUGUUAUGUUUACUUGUUUGAGACUGUUAUACAGCUAGUAGCUGUAGUAGGACUUGUUUGUGAUCAUUAAAAUAACCUUUUUUUACUAGCUGUACAGAAGUGUUUAAAUGGUUCGCAUGUGCACUGUAGGCUGUUAAAAGGAUUAUAUGUGUUGUCCAUUAACAUCAAUAGCAGUUUAUUUGUCCACAAGUACUACUCUAAUUUGCUGUAAGCUGAAAAUGAAUGUGAAUGUGAUAUUCUAUUACACUUAUCCCACAAAA